AUUUUUACUUCUUUUGUGGAUCUUCAGUUACUUCAGACCAUCUGGAUGUAUACAUGCAAGUCACAGGAGAUGCGAUGGCUUGGCUUGGGCUCAGAGGCCUGACAUUCCUGCCUUCUUAUAUUAAUAAGAAAAAUAAAACAAAAUAGUGUUGAAGUGUUGGGGCGGCGAAAAUUUUGGGGGGUGGUAUGGAGAGAGAAUGGGCGAUGUUUCUCAGGGCUGCUUCAAGCGGGAUUAGGGGCGGUGUGGGAACCUAGAGUGGGAGAGAUUAAGCUGAAGGGAGAUCUUGUGGUAAGUGGUGAUAUUGUGGGGACGUUAGAAGAAACAUUUGUCAUAUAGAAUGAUCGGUGAUGGCCUGGAUAUGGUUUUGGAUGAAUUGAGAAACUAAAUGGAAGAUACAAGGUCUGAAAAAAAGAAGGAGAAAAAUGGGUAUUAAAGGACUAAGAAUUGGAAGGACCCAGGACAUCCAAUUAGAGAGUGGCCAAGGGGGUUCAGCAUAAUUACUUGCUUGGUUGGCAAGAUUUUGGGCUUUAUCCUUGAGUUUUUUUAUGUUGUCAUACACCAGGCCAGAUUGAUUUAGGUAAAAAUAAGACUCUUCAUUUAAGAAUAUACAGAGUCCUCCUUUUUCAGCAGUGAGUAAGUCAAGGCCUUGGCGGUUUUGGAGGACAACUGCAGCUGAAGAGUCAACUUGGGCCUGGAGGCCUGAUAAAGUUUGUGAUAUGUCUGUAAUGCUAGCAGAGAAGUCAUUAGACAGGAUACGGAAGGUCGUGACAGAGGUUGAAAUGCCUGCUAUUCCAGUACCGAGAGCAACAGUGGAGGCAGAAAGUCCUAAACCAACCAUCAAGGGAAUUAGUGGAAUAACUCUUUUUUGUCGUGUCGGUGUCAUGAGGGGAACAGGGAGCUCUUCAGUCCCAUUUGCAAAUUGAAUUUUGGAGGUAAGGAAAACUAGUGUGCAUGUGCCUGUCCAAUUAGCAGGUAGACACAUGUAGGUAGAGGAUCCACAGAGGAAGAAGAGACUUUGUACUAGGCAAAACUGGAGAUGUAAAGUAAAAAGGUGAGAAGGAGUGCUGAAAGGGGUGUCUUGUACCCAGACUCUUAGGGAUCCACCUAGGGGGGCAGCAGUCAGAGGUUGUAAUGGGGACUGAUGGGGUAACUGCGUAGAGGGGGAGGUUCGAUUUUCAUGGUAUAUGAGAAAACGUUGAGCAUCUACGAGCAAACUUUCACUGUUAUUUUUGGGGCUGGGUAUAAGUAAACAAGAAGAGGGUCUGGGAGGAGAGUCUGAUGAGCAAGGGGAAAAUAGCCAAGGAUGGAGUGAAAUACAGGACAAGUGUCUUCCUAAGCAAUAAUUACUGCUAACGUUUUUAAGUUUGUCAGUAUUGAUAGAGGGCUUGUCUGUAAUAUGGAGCUGGAAGGCUCCAUUUGUUUCAGUGAUGUGUGUAGUUGGGCUUCGGAGAUGAAGAGUAAAGGAACAUCGAGAAGGUGAAAGAUUACCUAGGGGAAUUCCAGUGGGUCUUUGCCGAGAGAUACAUAAAGGAGCGGCCACAGGAAUAGUAGUUUGUGUUGUGAGCGGUCCAAAUGUGGGGGGAGUAGAGUUAAUAUAAGGAGAAAGGUUUUUUAAAUAAGUGCAGAGGAGGGCGGCAGCUUGCUGAUGUGAAAUGUCUGGGGAAGUCUUGCUGGACCUGUCUAGAAAGUAAAUGAGUUUUUCAGGAGGGUAAAGGUGAGGGCUGUUAAAGGAAGUUCGGAGGUGUGGGGAGACAGGAGAUGUUGCCCAGUCUGUCUGUAAGGCAGGGACAGCUGGGUAGGCACUGGAAGGAAGGGAAAUGCAAAGCCAGCAGUUUUUCACUAAGGAGGGAUUAGAAACGGCUAGGAGAGAAUGGGUAAGGUUGAUAGUGUGGUGGAGAUAGCUGGGGAGAGGUAAAGGGUGGCAUAAGAUUGGGAAUGAGAAUAAGAGUGAGUAUAAAAGUAAAGAAUAGAACUUCAUCAGGGUGGAAGUAUUGGAGGAUGCCCUGCCAGCAAAGAUCAUCUAUCCACUCUAAGAGGGAGUUAAGAGUGGCAGUUUCGGGAUAGCACCAAGAGAUAUCAGCUGUGAUGGCUUGAAGAAACAGUGUAAACUGGUGGUGUAAACAAGAGUAGGGCAUUUAUAAGUAGUUGAUAAUGGAGAAUAGGAGUAUGACCAGACAGAAGAUAGUAGGGAUGACUCGUUUUUGGGGGCACAGUCUAAGUUAGUCUGCUCUCUGGAAUGAGACUGGGGCCUAAUAAAAAGGAGCAUCUAUACAGGAGCUCAAAUGGGCUGUACCCUGUAGCAUUCUGAGGACAGGUCUGACUUCUGAGAAAGGAAAGUGGUAAAAGUAUUGUCUAGUCCUUUUUAAGUUGGUGGCUGAGCUUGGUGAGGUGUGUUUUUAAAAGACCGUUAGUCUGUUCUACUUUUCCUGAAGACUGAGGACUGUAAGGGAUAUAAAGGUUUCACUAAAUAUUAAGAGCCUGAAAAACUGCUUGGCUGAUUUGACUAAUAAAGGCUGGUCAGUUAUCAGACUGUAUAGAGGUGGGAAGGCUAAACUGAGGGAUUAUGUCUGACAGAAGGGAAGAAAUGACUGUGGUGGCCUUCUCAGACCCUGUAGGAAAGGCCUCUACCUAUCCAGUGAAAGUGUCUACCUAGACUAAGAGGUAUUUUAGUUAUCUGACUCGGGGCAUGUUGAGUAAAGCUAAUUUGCCAGUCCUGGGUGGGGGCAAAUUCUUGAGCUUGAUGUGUAGGGAAGGGAGGGGGGCCUGAAUAAUCCUUGAGGAGUAGUAGAAUAGCAGAUGGAACACUGAGAAGUUAUUUCCUUGAGGAUAGAUUUCCACGAUGGAAAGGAAAUGAGAGGUUUUAAGAGGCGGGCUAGUGAUCUGUACUAUAGCAUAGCCUGCCUUUGCUGGUGUGUGGUGAUUAGGCCUGGUGGAACCGCCAUUAAUAAAUCAAGCAUGAUCAGGGUGAGGAACAGGAAAGAAGGAAAUAUGGGGAAAUGAGGUGAAUGUCAGGUGGAUCAGAGAGAUACAGUCAUGAGGGUCAGGUGUGGUUUCCAGAAUAAUGUGGGAGACCGGAUUGAAGUCCCGGUCAGGAACAAUGGUAAUUGUGGGACUUAACAAAGAGUGAGUACAGCUGAAGGAGCCGGGGAGCAGAAAGUAUAUGCAUCAGGUAUGAGGAAGAAAAUAGAUUUUGGAAGUUAUGAGAAAUGUAGAGAGUAAGUUGAGCAUAGUUUGUGAUUUUGAGGGCCUCUAAAAGUAUUAGGGUGGCAGCAGCCGCUGCAGGGAGACAUGAUGGCUAGGCUAAAACAGUAAGGUCAAGUUGUUUGGACAGAAAGGCUAUAGGGUGUGGUCCUGGCUCUUUUGUAAGAAUUCUGACUGCACUAUGCCUAGGAAGGGAAGGAGUUGUUGUUUUGUAAGGGAUUGAGGUUUGGGAGAUUAAUCGGACACAAUCAGCAGGGAAAGCACAUGUGUUUUUAUGAGAAUUGUGCCGAGAUAGGUAACAGAUGAGGAUGAAAUUUGAGCUUGACUGAAGUAAUGGGGGCUGUCUAUGAAGACUUGCGGCAGUACAGCCCAGGUAAUUUGCUGAACCUAAUGGGUGUCAGGGUCAGUCUAAGUGAAAGCAAAGAGAGUCUGGGAUGAGGCGUGCAGGGGAAUAGUAAAAAAAGCAUCUUUAAGAUCGAGAACGGAAUAGUGAGUUGUGGAGGAAGGUAUUGAGGACAGAAGAGUGUACGGGUUGGGCACUACAGGGUGGAUAGGCAAAACAAUUUGGUUGAUAAGGCGCAGAUCCUGAACUAAUCUGUAAGACUUGUCCGGUUUUUGGACAGGUAAAAUGGGGAAAUUGUAAGGAGAGUUUAUAGGUUUUAGAAGCCCAUGCUGUAGCAGGCGGGUGGUAACAGGCUUUAAUCCUUUUAAAGCAUGCUGUGGGAUGGGAUAUUGGUGUUGAGCCGGCUUUGGAAAGGUCCCUGCUUCCUCUGAGUCUUCUACAGAUACAGCAAGAACCCAUUGGACGAGGUGACCCAUGGCUUUCUCCUAUAACUGGAGUAUCUUCUGGCCAGGCCCAUGGAGGAAUACUCCCUAAUAACCAAAUUCUGAGGCAUUCAUUCAUUAUCUUUAAAGCAGUGCUUCCCAAACUGUAACAUGUGACUUCACAACUCUUCAUAUCAAAAGAUGGAGUUCAUUUCCAACCUCUUUUAAUUCAGACUGGCCUUGGGACUUCUUUUGAGCAACAAAAUAUGGCAGGAAUAAUGUUGUGAUCUCUGAGCUGGAAUGGAGAUGAUUCCCAAAAAACCUUAGAAGGCAUUACUGAAGAUAGAAAAACCUCCCAGAGCCUGAUUUCUGAAUGAUUGUCCAUUUGGCAUAGUCACCAGGUGUGGAUGAAACGAGGCUUCACCCCUGAGUCUGCAACCUUAGACAAGUUUCUCCACAAUGCUACUCUGAGAUCAAGAUCUCAACUGUACAUCCUGGAGACAACACAACAACACAAGGGAAUAAAAUCUUAUACAACUGUCAGAGGUAUUGUGGAGUUCAAAUUAGAUGAUAUACAAUGACACCAAGGAAAAUACAUUGUGAAAUUUGACGAGAUUCUGAACUCAAAAAGAGAUGCUGCUCUAUUCAUUUCAAAACAACUCAUAAUAAAAGUGUUCCGCCGGGCGCGGUCGCUUAUGCCUGUAAUUCCAACACUUUGGGAGGCCGAGGCGGGCGGAUCACGAGGUCAGGAGACCGAGACCAUCCUGGCUAACGCGGUAAAACCCCGUCUCUACUAAAAAAAUACAAAAAAAUUAGUGGGGCGUGGUGGCAGGAGCCUGUAGUCCCAGCUGAGGCUGAGGCAGGAGAAUGGCGUGAACCCGGGAGGCGGAGCUUGCAGUGAGCCGAGAUCGCGCCACUGCACUCCAGCCUGGUCGACAGGGCGAGACUCCGUCUCAAAAAAAAAAAAAAAAAAAAAAAACAGUUUUCCAACUUAGCGUUUCCGGCAUUAACUAAUCACACCUCAAUCUCACUUUUAUUUUUGCUCUUCUUGUUUUUUUCAACUGGCACCUGGAGCAGGUCAGUCACAUUCCUCAUUUUUCAGGGACACCUUCGAUGCCAGAUUCUUUUUGCCUUCCGGUAAGAUUUUUUUUUUAGUAUCUUGGCCAUUUAGGGGGAGGGAGGAUAAGAAAUAAAGGGACAGUAUUAGAGCGUUAAUAAAUUGUUUUUUGUAAAUACGUUUUAGGAUGUUCACAUGUAGUGCUUCUUCAAGAUUUCUAAAAGUAUCUACGUUAUGGCUUCACUCUAUCAUUGUAAGCCUUACUAGGAUUCCUGAAUUUUGACAUAUAUUUAUUUUUUCUUCUGACUCAAGCUUUGAAUGACAAGAAUACUGUCAUGUUUUCUAUAUUUUCCACAAGAUAGAUAGAAUAAAAUACCCAUCAACUCUCUUUACACAUAGACUUUUUAAUAAAUUGUUUAAACUAUUCACAUCUCCAAUGGCUAAUUUGGGAUGAUACAGAAAUGCACAUGUUUUUAAAUAUAUAUCAAGAGCAUAUUAAACAAUUCCACAGCACAGAUGAAUAAUAUUGUUACCAGUGAAAUUCAUGCUGUAUCCUAAAACAAAUAGCCAAUAUUUGACAUAAUAAAGCAAAUAUCCUUUUACCUUUACUAUCAGUUUGGGGGCUGUUAAAUUAUUGGGGAAGUGGCAGGUAAAAUUUUCUUUUUAUCUUUUCUGAAAAUAAAAUAAUUUGGUAAUGUUCCAGGUCAGUAUACAAAGAGUUUUCUAAUUUAUGUAUAAAUUUUUAAAAUAAAGUAUAAUAGAGCAAAAAGCUCACUAGCAUUUAGAACUGUCCUGAUAACAGAAUGACAGGGCCUGGGCUUGAAUUUUGUGUAAAAAGAUUGUAGGUGCCAAAUCAUCUCCAUUUCUCAUAUCAUGAUUAAUUCUCCAGAGAAUUAUAGCAGGUACACAAAUUAGAAGAGCUCUUUGAAUCUUACUUUCAAAUUUGAAAAAGAAAAUGUGUAUUGUUUUGCAACAUAGCUUUUGAAUUAAUGUUUUUAAUUUAUAUUAUUAUUCUGACCUAAUAUUUAGGUAUUAUAUAUUUGAAAUAAAAAGAGAGGCCACCAUCAUAUUAAGCAUGACAUGAAGUACCUGGCAUAUUCUGAGUUAUGUGUACAGGUAAUUAGUUCUAACUCAAGGUAAUGUUCUCAUAAAUAGGGAACAAAUAUUACCAAAUUCAUUAAUUAGUCAUGCUUAUACUUCUGUCAUUUGGAAUAAUGUGUUUGCUUGAACUAAGGUUUCCUAUUUAUUAGAGUCAUUAAUGACUGUCAGUAAGAUACAGUGCUCUAACAUUUCACCAAUAUUUGAGAAACGCACAGGUAUUGCAUUUUUUUAACAGGGGACUAGUCUCAUUUUAUAUCUGUAUGGAAUGACAACCACAGUAUUAAAUUCCCUUGGCCUAUUUCUGCUACUUUCCUUUAUUUCAUUCAUCCUACUGUUUCCUUUAUUUCAUUCAUCCUCUACCAUUUUUAUUCUUAUAACACGUAUAUCAUUGUAUCAUAAUUACUUGUUUGCAUUUCUGCCUUCCUCCACUAAAGCACAUGAAUCAUUCUGCUUCUCAUAAGCAUCCUCAUUUAUUGUUUAAUGAAUUUAAACAUUCACUUAUACACAUAUAUUUCAAUAAAACUUUCAAAUAAACUAUUUUAACUAAAUUAAAAUAUUUUAGCUGUUAAUAUACGUAUGCAAUCAUUCUUCUGUGAAUAUAUGCAACAUACAUUACUUUGCAUUAUAUAUCUAAACACAAACACAAGGACUAUUGUAUUAGUCCUUUUUCAUGCUACUGAUAUAGACAUACCCAAGACUGGGUAAUUUAUAAAGAAAAAGAGGUUUAAAGGAAUCACAGUUCCAUGUGGCUGGGGAGGCCUCACAAUCAUGUUGGAAGGUGAAAGGCACAUCUUACAUGGCAGCAGCCAAGAGAGAAUGAAAGCCAACUGAAAAGGGAACAAGAAUAAAAAUAUAUAUCCAUGCUAAUGGGAGGUUGCUUAUAAGACAAUGUCUGACAUAUAUGAUUUAUUACAAGUUAUUGAUUCCAAUAUUUUUAAAAAUCUACCACAACACAUUAUCAACAAAAUAAAAUCACACAAAAUCCUGUUAAAUAUUUUGUUAUGAUAUUUUAUGCAACUUUUUAAAGCAUAUAUUAUUUCACCUAACUAAAAUGUAUAUGAAUAAUAUUUCUACAUUUUCAUAAUGAACUAAGGCAGCAUUUCCCAAAGAGUGUUUCAGAAAAUACGUCUUUAGAGAUGUUCUUUUUUUUUUUAUUAUACUUUAAGUUUUAGGGUACAUAAAAAUGAAUUAAUGUUAUAUAGAUUAAAAAUAAGCAUAUGAAAAUGUUCUCAACAACAUAAGUCAUCAGGGAAUUGCAAAUUAAAACAACGAGAUACCACUACGUACAUAUUAGAAUGAAUAUAAUAAAAAAAAACUAAAUUCAAAUUGCUGACAAAGAUGCAGAACAAGAAUUCUCACUCAUGCUGGUGAGAAUAUAAAAUGGCACAGCCACUUUGGAAGACCACUUGGCUAUUUCAUACAAAAACAACACUUUUCCUAUACAACGUAGCGAUCAUGCUACUAGAUAUUCAUCCAGCCAAAUUGGGAAUGUAUGACCACAUAAAAACCUAUAUGUUAAUGUUUAUAGUGACUUUAUUCAUAGUCAGCAAAAAUGGGAAACAAUCAAAAUGUCUUUCCAUAGAUGAACAGGUAAACUUGACACAUUCAUAUAAUGGAAUAUUAUUCAGCAAUUUAAAAAAUGAGCUCUCAAGCCAUGAAAAGGCAU
rnacentral:lncRNA from 10 species